UACGUAGGGUGCAAGCGUUGUCCGGAAUUAUUGGGCGUAAAGAGCUCGUAGGCGGUUGUCGCGUCUGCUGUGAAAACUCGGGGCUUAACCCCGGGCCUGCAGUGGGUACGGGCAGACUAGAGUGCGGUAGGGGAGACUGGAAUUCCUGGUGUAGCGGUGAAUGCGCAGAUAUCAGGAGGAACACCAACGGCGAAAGCACUCUGCUGGGCCGACACUGACACUGAGAGACGAAAGCUAGGGGAGCGAAUGGG
rnacentral:rRNA from 1 species